UCGAUGUUUAUGAAGGAAUGAAUGAACACACGUGCGAACCAAGGAAGGCAUGCGGGAGAGAGGCCGACGGAAUGUGGACACCGAGCGUAAGAUGACCUGCGACAGAGACUCAGAUCCAUGAUAACCACCUGGAACUCAUUUCAUUCUGCUUUUAAAGUGCGGCUAACUAGAUGAAGAGACUGUGAAAUAAAGGAAAUCUGAAAAUUACAAGAAAGCAGAAAAGAAGCAAACAAGAAUUAUACAUUGUCAUAUCUCCCAAGAUGAUCACAAGUAUUAUACGGUCUCAGGCAGUAAGGCAGCCGUUAC